GGACUGACCCAACUUACAGCUAUGAGAUACGGUUCGAUACCAGUUGUUCGAAAAACUGGAGGUGUGUCAUCCCUAGCUGCUUAGAUAUUUUGACAAUUUAAUUGUUCAUUAAAUUUCUAUAGUCCUAAUUAUUACCAUUCACUCCUUAGUUAAGCAACAGACCUAGAUUUUAUUAUUUCUUAUUCAACUACUCACAUGAUAUCCCUAUAUUACAAGUACCAACUAAUAAUAUUUGUGAGAUCCCAUAACUUUUCCUUCAUUCCAAAUCUGUGGUAAGCAAGAACCUAAGAGCUACAAUUUAUUUGACCACUAAUUUUGAUGUUUUUUCUAUAGGACUUUAUGACACUG
rnacentral:misc_RNA from 1 species